ACUGAGGGUGCGAGCGUUAAUCGGAAUUACUGGGCGUAAAGCGAGUGUAGGCGGUUACCUCAGUCGGAUGUGAAAGCCCCGGGCUUAACCUGGGAAUUGCAUUCGAUACUGGGUAGCUAGAGUUUGGUAGAGGUAAGUGGAAUUCCGGGUGUAGCGGUGAAAUGCGUAGAUAUCCGGAGGAACAUCAGUGGCGAAGGCGGCUUACUGGACCAAAACUGACGCUGAGGCUCGAAAGCGUGGGUAGCAAACAGG
rnacentral:rRNA from 1 species